rnacentral:rRNA from 1 species
UACGUAGGGGGCAAGCGUUGUCCGGAAUCAUAGGGCGUAAAGAGCGUGUAGGCGGCUUGGUAAGUCCGCUGUGAAAGUCCAGGGCUCAACCCUGGAAAGCCGGUGGAAACUGUCAAGCUUGAGUCCGGAAGAGGCGAGUGGAAUUCCUGGUGUAGCGGUGAAAUGCGCAGAUAUCAGGAGGAACACCAGUGGCGAAGGCAGCUCGCUGGGACGGUACUGACGCUGAGACGCGAAAGCGUGGGGAGCAAACAGG